AGUGGCGCACGGGUGCGUAACGCGUGGGAAUCUGCCCUUGGGUACGGAAUAACUCAGAGAAAUUUGUGCUAAUACCGUAUAAUGUCUUCGGACCAAAGAUUUAUCGCCCAAGGAUGAGCCCGCGUAGGAUUAGCUAGUUGGUGAGGUAAAAGCUCACCAAGGCGACGAUCCUUAGCUGGUCUGAGAGGAUGAUCAGCCACACUGGGACUGAGACACGGCCCAGACUCCUACGGGAGGCAGCAGUGGGGAAUAUUGGACAAUGGGCGAAAGCCUGAUCCAGCAAUGCCGCGUGAGUGAUGAAGGCCCUAGGGUUGUAAAGCUCUUUUACCCGGGAUGAUAAUGACAGUACCGGGAGAAUAAGCUCCGGCUAACUUCGUGCCAGCAGCCGCGGUAAUACGAGGGGAGCUAGCGUUGUUCGGAAUUACUGGGCGUAAAGCGCGCGUAGGCGGUUUUUUAAGUCAGAGGUGAAAGCCCGGGGCUCAACCCCGGAAUUGCCUUUGAAACUGGAAAACUAGAAUCUUGGAGAGGUCAGUGGAAUUCCGAGUGUAGAGGUGAAAUUCGUAGAUAUUCGGAAGAACACCAGUGGCGAAGGCGACUGACUGGACAAGUAUU
rnacentral:rRNA from 1 species